GACGAACGCUGGCGGCGUGCUUAACACAUGCAAGUCGAACGGAAAGGCCUGCUUUCCCUUGUGGAUUGCGGGUACUCGAGUGGCGAACGGGUGAGUAACACGUGAGUGAUCUGCCCCCAACUUGGGUAUAAGCCUGGGAAACUGGGUCUAAUUCCCGAUAGGACUGCAGGGUGGUGCCUGUGGUGGAAAACGAUUUUCUAGUGGUUGGGGAUGAGCUCGCGGCCUAUCAGCUUGUUGGUGGGGUAAUGGCCUACCAAGGCGGCGACGGGUAGCCGGCCUGGGAGGGUGGACGGCCACAUUGGGACUGAGAUACGGCCCAGACUACUACGGGAGGCAGCAGUGGGGAAUAAUGCGCAAUGGGCGGAAGCCUGAUGCAGCGACGCCGCGUGGGGGAUGACGGGCUUCGGGUUGUAAACUCCUUUCGACAGCGAGGAAGCCACCUGGUUGGAAGGGUGGUGACGGUAGUGGUAGAAGAAGCACCGGCUAACUACGUG
rnacentral:rRNA from 1 species